rnacentral:rRNA from 1 species
UACGGAGGGUGCAAGCGUUAUCCGGAAUCACUGGGUUUAAAGGGUGCGUAGGCGGUUUGAUAAGUCAGUGGUGAAAGCUUCCCGCUCAACGGGAGAAUUGCCAUUGAUACUGUCAGACUUGAAUCAAUACGAGGCAGGCGGAAUGUGACAUGUAGCGGUGAAAUGCUUAGAUAUGUCAUAGAACACCGAUUGCGAAGGCAGCCUGCCAGAUUUGCAUUGACGCUGAGGCACGAAAGCGUGGGGAGCGAACAGG